rnacentral:tRNA from 1 species
GCUCCUGUAGUGAAGUGGUUAUCACGUCGGGUUUUCAGUCCGGAGUCCACAGUUCAAUUCUGUGCUGGAGUA